UUGGUGAGGUAAUGGCUCACCAAGGCGACGACGGGUAGCCGGCCUGAGAGGGCGACCGGCCACACUGGGACUGAGACACGGCCCAGACUCCUACGGGAGGCAGCAGUGGGGAAUAUUGCACAAUGGGCGAAAGCCUGAUGCAGCGACGCCGCGUGAGGGAUGACGGCCUUCGGGUUGUAAACCUCUUUCAGCAGGGAAGAAGCGAAAGUGACGGUACCUGCAGAAGAAGCGCCGGCUAACUACGUGCCAGCAGCCGCGGUAAUACGUAGGGCGCAAGCGUUGUCCAGAAUUAUUGGGCGUAAAGAGCUCGUAGGCGGUCUGUCGCGUCGGAUGUGAAAGCCCGGGGCUUAACCCCGGGUCUGCAUUCGAUACGGGCAGACUAGAGUGUGGUAGGGGAGAUCGGAAUUCCUGGUGUAGCGGUGAAAUGCGCAGAUAUCAGGAGGAACACCGGUGGCGAAGGCGGAUCUCUGGGCCAUUACUGACGCUGAGGAGCGAAAGCGUGGGGAGCGAACAGGAUUAGAUACCCUGGUAGUCCACGCCGUAAACGGUGGGAACUAGGUGUUGGCGACAUUCCACGUCGUCGGUGCCGCAGCUAACGCAUUAAGUUCCCCGCCUGGGGAGUACGG
rnacentral:rRNA from 1 species